rnacentral:rRNA from 1 species
CCCUUAGAUGUCCGGGGCCGCACGCGCGCUACACUGAAGGAAUCAGCGUGGCUUUCUCCCUGACCCGAAAGGUCCGGGUAACCCGUUGAACCUCAUUCGUGAUUGGGAUAGGGACUUGCAAUUGUUUCCCUUGAACGAGGAAUUCCCAGUAAGCGCAAGUCAUCAGCUUGCGUUGAUUACGUCCCUGCCCUUUGUACACACCGCCCGUCGCUACUACCGAUUGAAUGGUUUAGUGAGAUCCUUGGAUCGGCCCUGUCGCGGCUGGCAACGGCCGCGUCGGCGCGUCGAGAAGACGAUCAAACUUGAUCAUUUAGAGGAAGUAAAAGUCGUAACA